UAUACUUGCUGUAUUUGUUACCUUAUUUCUGGUUUUGGAACCUUUUAAGUUAUAACUCCAUAUUUAUGAUUUUGUCCUGUGAAGUGUUAGCUCGUAGAGAAGUAGUAAUUAGAGUAUGUAUCACAUUCACAAUUGUGGCGUUAACAUUGCACUCUAUCUGUUUGUAUAAAUGUCUCACCCAAUAACUGAAAUUUUUUUGCAGCAAAACCGUGUUAUUUUUUUCCUUGUAACAAUUACAGCUUUAGAUAAAUGGAAACCAAGUCAUUUGAGGAACCUUAUUCCACCGACGAUGAGGUCUACUUGCAAAAUGCAAGUGAUGAAGAUGAUAAUGACAGUACCUUUUCUUCCAGCUCCACCACCAAGUUACAGUUCAGGUCUUUUCUUCCUUGAUAUGUAGUAUAUACUUGUGAGAGUACUCAAGUGAAUUCUUUGAGUAAAAAAAUCAUUUGAUCUUAAUGGUAAAAAGUUGAGUCCUCAUAGAAUUACCGGAAGCCAGAUGUAGAUAAUUAAUACCAGAAAGGAAAAAAUUGAUAUUAUCAAUGAGGGCAAGAAGUAUGAGAACCUGCAAUAGGAACAUAAACAAGAUGAUGCAUGCCUAUUCCUAGCGCAGGCCAUGAGCUCAUGCGUCGGUUGUCUACCCGCAACCCGACGUUACUCGGAGUGAACCCCGAAUAUGGUCCGUUUACUGUGUCAAUUAGACACCUUGGCAUCACGGUUACCCGUGUCAAUUAGGCCUCAUUAUAAUAACAGUUCAAUGUGUAUCACAGUAAGAAACAGUGCUAUCAAUUAGGCGAACAUUCCCGCAUUAGCAAUCUCAAGCUAUCAAUUAAGCGGGCCCUUUCGCAUUAGCAGUUUGGCACAAAAGCCCAUUCAAUAUAAUUCUCAACUUUUAUUUCAUUCCUUGUUCCUCAUUCUUUUUCUUUCCCUUUAAGUAUCUUUUUCAUCCUUUAUUUCUUACUUUCUUUCCUUUCCAUUAUGCCUCCGCAUAGCCUUACAACUAAACACACCUCCACAUCACCAAGUAGCUAAAAGUACCUCCACAUCACCAUGAAACUAGGCGUACCUCCGCAUCACCAUUUAACUUUAAACGUUUUCUAGGGAUAACUCACACAACUUUGAUUAACUAGGUUCAUACAUUCUACCAAAUUUGUACAUAUCCUUUGGUUCUAAGCCAAGUUUUACCACGUUUAGAUUAGAAUUGAAUUAGAUAGCCAGCUUAAUAAAAUUUGCUGCUGCACUAAAGAGAAUUCAGAAAAAGUACAGCAAGCAGCCCUGUUUUUGAUAAAUCUAUAAUAAAUUCAAUUCUAAUCCAUUUCUUCUAAAUUUUGGUGAGAUUACAGUCAACAUACCUAAGUUUCAGAAUCCACAAGUUUCAGGUUCAUAUCACUUCAUUUGAUUAAUUAAUUAUCAAUUGGAAGUGGAGCCCUGUUUUCAUAAACCAGUUCAGAGUUUCCAGCAAACAACCGACCUUCCAUGUGACUUAUCUAAGUGUACAAAAUAGAUAUGAACAUGAAACUUGUACUCACUUAAAAUAGACUGAUAGAUCUUUAAAAUCCUUUUGAAAUCAACUCAAAAUUCUGUUUAAAUUAAAAGUUAUAGCGUCUGGAAGUUGGUACUGUAGAACCAGAAAACCAGAAAAAUCUGCAGCAACCACUAAACUUCAAAAAAUCAUAUCUUCCAAACCCCUUGGCCAAAUUCCCUGAAAUUUUUAUGUAAUAUUCAAGACACACUAAGGUUUUACAGAAAAAUAGUUUCAUCUAAAAAUUAGGUCUCUACUGCUCCCAAAAUGUCAUUCGUUCUGCUGCCAAUUAUGCAGAUUUCUGCAGAAAUUCUGCAGAAAGUAUUUCCAACAACCUCACAUACCAAAUCCUAUAUCCAAGCCUAGGAUUCAUCUAAAACCACAUUUCUAACUUUCUUUUGACUAACCAAAGUUGCCCAAGAACUCUUAAUUCAAUAUAUCACAAUUUCAUAUCAUAGGUGCAACGUAACCAUAUUAUCACAGCAUCCACUCUUCAGCAUUUCAUCUAUAACAACAUAUCUCAAAUUCUGAUUCAUCAAAUGAAUUUCCAGCAACCAUAGCAACAUUUCAUACACAAAAUCAUCAUCAACAAGCACUAGCAACAAAUAUAACUUCAAAAUACACAACAUCGUCAAUAAUUACUACAUUAAAUCAUUAAACCAAUCACCAACUAUAACCAUGAUUCAACUCAAUUCCAACAAUUAUUCACACAAAGCAACCAUAAAUCAUUUGCAGUUACUCAUUUAAUUUUAUUGGCAUUCAUAACUUAAAACAUUUAUUUUUUAAAACAAAUCCCCUACCUCAGUGUCACUAUUAAAAGAAAUCGGAAGCGGAAUUACGGUGAGACAGCUGACUGGACCAUUACUAGCCACGCAACAAUUUUAGUCAAGAUAACAGCGGCAUUGCACCCCAUCACAACCGGAGGAACAGCCACAACAUUAGCUCCCACAACAGUGAUCAGGUUUGUAGAUACGGAAAAUUGGAAUCCAAUGGAAUUGGAAAUAGAAAUGGCUCUGGAAAUUCAAAACAGAGCAUAGACCAAAGUUGGAUUAAACAAGAACAAGCAUGUUAACAAGAUAUUUGCAGAGUAGGGCGUGUAAUUGGAGCAGGGAUAAGGAAUAAAGGUUAAACCAGAGCAAUUGAUGUUGAACCUAAUUGGAACGCGGAUAGGGCAGCAGCGGCUCUAGCCCCUUCUUCUUGCUGGUAGUAGCGGUAGUGAUGGCUAGGGUUUGGCGGUGAUGGCUCCUCCAACAGCGGCGAUGUGGCUCAACGGCGGCAAAGCUUCCCUUCCGUUCUCUGGUUCGCG